AUCUACAGCCAUACCACCCUGAACGCGCCCAAUCUCGUCUGAUCUCGGAAGCUAGGCAGGGUCGGGUCUGCUUAGUACCUGGAUGGGAGAAGUACCAGGGACAAUCUAGGACUUUUCUCUAGAUA
ensembl:rRNA 5S_rRNA 5S ribosomal RNA